rnacentral:rRNA from 1 species
UUUUGAGUUUAUCUUAAACACUUGUUACAUGGCACCUGAUACUUUAUUACAUUUCUAGUGGCGGACGGGUGAGUAACACGUUGGAACCUGCCCCAAAGUGAGGAAUAAGCCACCGAAAGGUGGUCUAAUACUUCAUAAUAUCCAUCUCGUAUGGAUUAAAGCUUUAUGCGCUUUGGGAGGGGCCUGCGUAACAUCAGCUUGUUGGUGAGGGUAAAAGCUCACCAAGGCUUCGAUGUUUAACUGGUUUGAGAGGAUGACCAGUCACACUGGGACUGAGAUACGGCCCAGACUCCUACGGGAGGCAGCAGUAAGGAAUCUUCCACAAUGGGGGCAACCCUGAUGGAGCAAUACCGCGUGCAGGAUGAAGCGUUUCGGCGUGUAAACUGCUUUUAUCACCGAAGAUUAUGACUGUAGGUGAAGAAUAAGGACCGGCUAACUACGUG